GGCGGUUCUCAGGUGACACACCCCAGAAAUGGGCUCUCUCCUCUCUGGUUCUGGGUGUAUCACCCAGGAACCACA
rfam:Myotis brandtii contig157459, whole genome shotgun sequence.